rnacentral:rRNA from 1 species
UACGUAGGGUGCGAGCGUUACUCGGAAUUACUGGGCGUAAAGGGUGCGCAGGCGGACAGUUUAGUCAGAGGUGAAAGCCCAGGGCUCAACCUUGGAAUUGCCUUUGAUACUGGCUGUCUUGAGUUCGGGAGAGGUGAGUGGAAUGCCGAGUGUAGAGGUGAAAUUCGUAGAUAUUCGGCGGAACACCAGUGGCGAAGGCGACUCACUGGCCCGAUACUGACGCUGAGGCGCGAAAGCGUGGGGAGCAAACAGG